CGCAAGUGAUUGGAGGCAAUUGACGAAUGGCAAGCGCCAUCAUCAACAAGCAGCAGCUGCUAUUGAUGCUGAAGUAGCGAUCCUCUCAAUACUUACGUAUAUCCUACAGCAGUAGCACAUUGCCGCUGCCAUUGCUCUUGCCUGGCUGUGGUGCUUGUCAAUCACGUCGAAGGAGAAUUGACACAAAGUGAUACGAGUGAAUUGGCUGCAACAAAUGCAGUAUAAACGUAGUGGUUAGAUACGCUGCUGGCGAGGAAAAUGGAAAUGGAAAAUUUGAUGAAACUUCAAUAUAAAAGCCACUGCUACGAGAAGCUGAAGAAGAAACUGUGUAAAUAAUUGAGGAGUACUCCACAGUCAUUGAAGCAAAAGUUAUUAAACAAUACAGUGUUGUAGGAACAAAAGUACUCGUAAUGCCAGCGUAUUUCAAUUGCGACACUCACAAAUGAUUCAAAAGUAUGCCAAGUACAUUUAUGCACUUCAACUUAUCUAAGGAAUGCAAUGAAUUUACAUAAAUAUUUGUUGAACAAAAAAUACUUCCAUGGAAGCUCCAGCAAUAGCGAUGCUAGUGAUUCUCAAGAAGGGUGAGUUUUUGACUGGGCGACUGCUGCCAACAACCGCAAAACAUGCAACUACAUAUAUCGAUUUUUCUGAAAGAUGGGAAGUAAAGGUUGGAAGUUCUCAUCAUCAGCGAAGCCAAAGACAAUAACAAAAAAACAGUUGGCUGUUCAUAUGAAUGCCACAACUAAAGAUAUUUCAGUAUACUUAUAAGACAACAAUACCGCAGACUAUUUAGUUCCCACGCCCCUAAAA